UCCCAGGUGGCUCAGUGGUAAAGCAUCUGCCUGCAACGCAGGAGAAGUGGGUUUGAUCCCUGGGUC
rnacentral:tRNA from 1 species